GACGAACGCUGGCGGCGUGCUUAACACAUGCAAGUCGAGCGGUAAGGCCCUUUCGGGGGGUACACGAGCGGCGAACGGGUGAGUAACACGUGGGUGACCUGCCCUCAGCUCUGGGAUAAGCCUGGGAAACCGGGUCUAAUACCGGAUAUGACUCCAUGACGCAUGUUGUGGGGUGGAAAGCCUUGUGCGGCUGAGGAUGGGCCCGCGGCCUAUCAGCUUGUUGGUGGGGUAAUGGCCUACCAAGGCGACGACGGGUAGCCGGCCUGAGAGGGCGACCGGCCACACUGGGACUGAGACACGGCCCAGACUCCUACGGGAGGCAGCAGUGGGGAAUCUUGCGCAAUGGGCGAAAGCCUGACGCAGCGACGCCGCGUGAGGGAUGACGCCU
rnacentral:rRNA from 1 species